rnacentral:rRNA from 1 species
GUAGGGUGCGAGCGUUAAUCGGAAUUACUGGGCGUAAAGCGUGCGCAGGCGGGUUCGCUAAGACCGAUGUGAAAUCCCCGGGGCUUAACCUGGGAACUGCAUUGGUGACUGGCGGGCUAGAGUAUGGCAGAGGGGGGUAGAAUUCCACGUGUAGCAGUGAAAUGCGUAGAGAUGUGGAGGAAUACCGAUGGCGAAGGCAGCCCCCUGGGCCAAUACUGACGCUCAUGCACGAAAGCGUGGGGAGCAAACAGGAUUAGAUACCCUGGUAGUCCACGCCCUAAACGAUGUCAACUAGUUGUCGGGUCUUCAUUGACUUGGUAACGUAGCUAACGCGUGAAGUUGACCGCCUGGGGAGUACGGUCGCAAGAUUA